AUACGAAAGGUGCAAGCGUUGUUCGGAUUUACUGGGCGUAAAGAGAGUGUAGGUUGUUUAGUAAGUCGGAUGUGAAAUCCCGGGGCUCAACCUCGGAACUGCAUUCGAUACUGAUAGGCUAGAGUUUGGGAGGGGUAAGCGGAAUUCCGUGUGUAGCAGUGAAAUGCGUAGAUAUACGGAGGAACACCUGAGGCGAAGGCGGCUUACUGGACCAAUACUGACACUGAGACUCGAAAGCGUGGGUAGCAAACAGGAUUAGAAACCCUUGUAGUCC
rnacentral:rRNA from 1 species